CGGGGGGAGCAAGCGUUGUUCGGAUUUACUGGGCGUAAAGGGCGCGUAGGCGGCCAGCACAAGUCAGUUGUGAAAUCUCCGGGCUUAACUCCGAACGGUCAACUGAUACUGUGCGGCUAGAGUGCAGAAGGGGCAACUGGAAUUCUCGGUGUAGCGGUGAAAUGCGUAGAUAUCGAGAGGAACACCUGCGGCGAAGGCGGGUUGCUGGGCUGACACUGACGCUGAUGCGCGAAAGCCAGGGGAGCGAACGGGAUUAGAUACCCCGGUAGUCCUGGCCUUAAACGAUGGAUGCUUGGUGUCUGGAGUUUUAUAGUCUCCGGGUGCCGUAGCUAACGCGUUAAGCAUCCCGCCUGGGGAGUACGGUCGCAAGACUG
rnacentral:rRNA from 1 species